AACAGCUAGAGUUUGAUCCUGGCUCAGGAUGAACGCUGGCGGCGUGCUUAACACAUGCAAGUCGAACGGACGUAAGGAGCUUGCUCCUUGCGUUAGUGGCGGACGGGUGAGUAACACGUGAGCAAUCUGCCCAUGUCAGGGGGAUAACAGUUAGAAAUGACUGCUAAUACCGCAUAUGACCACAGAGAGGCAUCUCUCAGGGGUGAAAGAUUUUAUCGGACAUGGAUGAGCUCGCGUCCCAUUAGGCAGUUGGCGGGGUAACGGCCCACCAAACCUACGAUGGGUAGCCGGCCUUAGAGGGUGAUCGGCCACAUUGGAACUGAGAUACGGUCCAAACUCCUACGGGAGGCAGCAGUGGGGAAUAUUGGGCAAUGGAGGCAACUCUGACCCAGCAACGCCGCGUGAGUGAUGAAGGUCUUCGGAUUGUAAAACUCUUUAAGUAGGGACGAAGAAAGUGACGGUACCUACAGAAUAAGCCUCGGCUAACUACGUGCC
rnacentral:rRNA from 1 species